ensembl:lncRNA
UGUGAAUGAACCUCCACAGUUCACCACAUGGGGACCCUAUGUGCAAGAGUUCGAAGUCAUUCCCAUCAGUGGCUCUCAGUCUUCUCUGAACCCCAUGGCUCCUGAGUUCAAAUCGCUAGGACUCCAACCAAUUCUUGAUCACUCAGUUGCACCUCUUGACACACAUACAGCUGUCCAUCAGUCCCCAACCCAAAGUGGCCAUGUCAUCAUAGACAUUCCAGAAGAUGAGAUAUUGCAAAGCACAGUGGUCACAGACCCAACACCAGCUCAUGACACGGACAAUGUUCAGAACAGGUUUCCUGUAACCCCUAAAAGGCACUCAGAAGUUACUUGUGGGGAAGAACAAGGUAAGCAGCCCAGGCGUUCAAACAGAGAAAGACACCCCCCACCCAAGUUCACCUAUGAAGAGCUAGGGAAACCCCUAAUCCUUGCCCUUAGCCAGUUUUUUGGGAAACUCCAAGACAUUAUUCCUGACCAUCAGAUACCUUGUCAGAUUUAACGCACAUGCAGGGACUCAUGUGGUUUAGAGGGGGAGGGUGUAACCCUGUCAAUUUUGCCCCAAUAAAGUCCUGAAGUGACCUUUAAUGCAAACGAGUAAAACUAGGGUAAAAUGCAAUAUCUAGUUCGCCACUAGGUGGCAGUGCACAAUGAAACGUUCUUCUUCUGCUGUUUUCUGCCAUUCGAGCUGCCUUGAAAAAAGCCUGGAAAACGGGAGCCAGAGCAGAAGUAAAUUUUAAGAUUGAAAUUGAUUUAGAAAACGAAAUAUAUCCUCGAGGUUGAACUACAUUGAAAUUUAGACGACACCUGUUGUAAAACGAAGUUAUCUCGUGGAUUACAGUGGAUUAAAAAAAAACAGUCUGGCUAUCUACAAUAGCAGUGGAUGUUACCACACAGACUGUUUUUUUUUUGAGGCUUCUUCUGGUCACAGAUCCCUGAUGUUCUUUCCACCGAAGCUGGAUUCCUCUCUGUUUGCCCUGGUGCCUGGUUCCCUGGUCCACUGCCUCAACUAACAGCGCUGCAACGGUUCCAUUGGGUGGUUUGAUAUGGACGCUGAGUAUUGAAGGGGUGGUUGGACAGUUAAAAUAUUUGAGUGCACUCAAGG